rnacentral:rRNA from 1 species
GCACAAGCGGAGGAGCAUGCGGCUCAAUUCGAUGCAACGCGAAGAACCUUACCAGGGCUUGACAUGCAACUGCACGUCCCGUGAAAGUGGGACUCCUUCGAGGGUGUUGCACAGGUGCUGCAUGGCUGUCGUCAGUUCGUGCCGUGAGGUGUUUGGUUAAGUCCAUCAACGAACGCAACCCUUGUGUUUAGUUGCCACCACCGGUGAUGAGCCGGUGAGCACUCUAGACAGACUGCCCAUAUUAAGUGGGAGGAAGGUGGGGAUGACGUCAAGUCCGUAUGGCCCUUAUGUCCUGGGCUGCACGCGUGCUACAAUGGUCGGUACAGAGGGACGCAAUACCGCGAGGUGGAGCAAAUCCCCAAAAACCGAUCUCAGUCCGGAUUGGAGUCUGCAAUUCGACUCCAUGAAGUUGGAUUCGCUAGUAAUGGCACAUCAGCUACGGUGCCGUGAAUACGUUCCCGGGGAUUGUACACACCGCCCGUCACAUCAUGAAAGCUGUCUGCACCAGAAGUUGCUGUUCUAAUCCGCAAGGAAAGAAGU